UCAUUUGUUUCCAGGUAUUUUUUGAUUUCCUCAGUGAUCUGUUGGUUGUUUACAAGCAUAUUGUCUAGCCUCCACGUGUUUGUGAUUUUUAUAAUUUUCUUUUUUAUAGUUGAUUUCUAAUCUCAUAGCAUUGUAGUUAGAAAAGAUGCUUGAU